rnacentral:rRNA from 1 species
CAAUAGCGUAUAUUUAAGUUGUUGCAGUUAAAAAGCUCGUAGUCGGAUUUUGGCUGAGAACGAACGGUCCGCCGUUAGGUGUGCACUGUUUGGUCUCAGCUUCCUGGUGAGGAGGUGUGCUUCACGGCCACUUAGUCACCGUGGUUACUUUGAAAAAAUUAGAGUGUUCAAAGCGGGCUUACGCUUGAAUAUAUUAGCAUGGAAUAACACCAUAGGACUCCUGUCCUAUUUCGUUGGUCUCGGGACGGGAGUAAUGAUUAAGAGGGACAGUUGGGGGCAUUCGUAUUUCAUUGUCAGAGGUGAAAUUCUUGGAUUUAUGAAAGACGAACUUCUGCGAAAGCAUUUGCCAAGGAUGUUUUCAUUGA